rnacentral:lncRNA from 1 species
CAGAAAGGCAAGAGACCACCUUACUGAGCUUCAAACUGGGGCUGGGAACGCUGCCAUGAAUUGGGCUUGGUCUGUCUGAAGGGAGCCACCUUUUCGACAAUCCUUAGACUUCUUUUGCCUGUUGGAAUUACACCUUGGAUCGUGGCGAAGUCUAUAGAGGUCAGAUUAAGAAGAACCAAAGCAGAAUAAACGUAGAACCCGAUGCUGAGUUCACGAGUGAGGACGACCUCUUCCUAUAUGCUUUGCUAUACCCUGCGUUUUGAACAUUAAGGACGAGAUAGGAGGCCCAUAAUGUUUCUUCUUGCUUUAAUCCUGUCGUGGCAACGUUGACUUCCACCUGGUUGCAGAGUGAGCCCAUGGGACAGCCCUCUGAAAUUAUACUGCUUACAACCAUGCUGAGUCUGCAAGGACUUCGUCCAAGCCUUUCCGUCCAGGACCUCAAACAGAUCCAAUCACAAGAAGAGAGAUUUCAGGAAAGAGAAAAUUAUUCCUAUCAUCGGGGUUUUUGAAGAACAUGAAAUGACUGGGAAAAUAAUCAUGUUAAGUGGAAAAAAAAAAGAAAUCUAUCUGUUGUAAUUUUCAAAUAAUUUUUAAAUAAAUUUGAAAAAUUAAGAGAACUAUAUAUAUAA